GCGGCAGGGCUUAACCCGGUGCAGCCGAGAGGUGGGAUGCUGAAGGACUCGGAGAGGCGGCUGCAACAGGGCAUCCCUCACUGACCAAGUGUAUCCAUUUCUGAGCGCAAAAGGAAGAACUUAAGCGGGCGGCAGUUGGAGUAUACGUUGCUUUGUAGUAUUUAAAAGCAGCAUGGAUCAUGGGCAGCUGAGCUGGUACUGAAGACCUCUCAGCCAUGUUCUUAUUGAGGACUUACCUUCUCCUCAGCACUCUUGAGCUGCCAGCCACUGCUAUAUGGCAGGUAUGCUAUCACCUCACCACAUCAAGACAAAAUCACGGAUUAAAAUAGGGUGAGCUUUUUUUCUACUUCUUCUAAAUCAUAUUCCUCUUCUUGCUGAAUUGAUCUAAGACUUAUGGCAGACACAGAAGAAGAAAUUGUUGACAAUGACUGAGGCCUGUCCUUGGUAUAUUACAUCAAAAUUAAAAAAAAAAAAACCUGGUAAAGUAUCUUUCAAAACAGUAGCCAGGGGCUGGCCGAGUG